CCAUGGAAACCACAGGGGGACAUCAGGUGGCGAUUAGAGGAUAGUUCUUCAUUUCUGACAUGUUUUUAAUACAAACAGCCCAGAAAGCCUCAGUUUGCUAAAGAACAGACUUCCUGUCUGAGACGAGCUUCAGCCAAUCAGAGAGGACGACAGACUGCGACACGAUUGAGGGCCGGAAGAGCAGCAACUUUGGACCGCGCCGUCUCCAUGGCAACCAGUAGACCUGAUCACCAUGGCAACUGGUGGUUUAGGAGCCUCGGAGGUAAAAACCUGGAGUUUCUGAACUCCUGGUGGAAAAGUGUCACUCAGGAAGGUCAGACUGGACAGCUGGGGGCGGGACGUUCUGCACAAGAGCCAAUCCCGUCGCAGUAACACAACACCAGAACCAAUCAGAGAGCAGAACUCGUCCUGAAGGUCCAAACAAACAAAACAGCACAAAGUUCAGCUGAGGGUCAUCAGCUGACCAGAACCAGAACCAGACCGACUGGGUCUCACGGGGUUAAAGGUCAU